rnacentral:rRNA from 1 species
UGGCGACCACAGAGCGUUGGAACCACCUGAUUCCAUUUCGAACUCAGAAGUGAAACGGCGCAUCGCCGAUGGUAGUGUGGGGUUUCCCCAUGUGAGAGUAGGUCAUCGCCAG